GAAAUGCGAUAAGUAGUGUAAAUUGCAGAAUUCAGUAAAUUAUUAAAUCUUUAAACGCACAUUGCGCCCUUUAGUAUUCCUUAGGGCAUGCCUAUUUAAGCGUCAUCUAAACCUUCAAGUACUGCUUGGUGUUAGGUGCCUGUCCCGCCCCCGCGCGUGGACUCACCUUAAAUCUAUUGGCAGCCCUUACGUCAGCUUUGAGCGCAGCAGAAACGCGAACUCAAGGCCUGUUGGAGCGGCUCCUAGAAGCUACAUUUACUAUUUUAACCUUGGAUCAGGUAGGGAUACCUGCUGAACUUAA
rnacentral:misc_RNA from 1 species